rnacentral:rRNA from 1 species
UACGGAGGAUGCAAGCGUUAUCCGGAUUCAUUGGGUUUAAAGGGUGCGUAGGCGGGCUAUUAAGUCAGUGGUGAAAUCCUGCAGCUUAACUGCAGAACUGCCGUUGAUACUGAUAGUCUUGAGUUUGGUUAAGGUAGGCGGAAUGUGUAAUGUAUCGGUGAAAUGCUUAGAUAUUACACAGAACACCAAUUGCGUAGGCAGCUUACUGAGCCGACACUGACGCUGAGGCACGAAAGCGUGGGGAUCAAACA